rnacentral:lncRNA from 1 species
AUUUAUUCUGUUCCAUAAAUUAUAUUUUUGUUUUAGAUAGUAAUUUAUUUAUUAAGUGAGAAAAGUAAAAAAUUAUUUGUUCCAAUAAUUGUUUAGGAAUAAAGUAAUAUAUUAAAGAAAAUAAUAUAAAAUUUAUUAUUUUAAUUAUAUAAGUUAUGUUUUAUCAUUACGAGAGGGAAUAUUUAGGCAGCCAAGUCCAAUUUGAACCAAAUCAAGGGUUAAAAUGAUGAUGAAAGAAACCACAGAUCAAUCAUCCGGCAUAUCUUUAUUUUUUUUUCUACCAUGUAAUGACGCAAGUACAUGCAUGCUUUCUAUUAAUAAAUAACAAUAUUUAUGUUAUAUUUGAUUCCUAAAAGUGAAUAAAUAAGAAAAUUAAAAUUCUAUUGUAGUUUUUAAUAGUUGAUAAUAUUUUGAGAUUCAGCAAAAG